AACCAGCACCUCAAGUGGUCAGGAUGAUUAUUGGGCCUAAAGCAUCCGUAGCCGGCUCUGUAAGUUUUCGGUUAAAUCUGUACGCUUAACGUACAGGCUGCCGGGAAUACUGCAGAGCUAGGUAGUGGGAGAGGUAGACGGUACUCGGUAGGAAGGGGUAAAAUCCUUUGAUCUAUUGAUGACCACCUGUGGCGAAGGCGGUCUACCAGAACACGUACGACGGUGAGGGAUGAAAGCUGGGGGAGCAAACCGGAUUAGAUACCCGGGUAGUCCCAGCUGUAAACUAUGCAAACUCAGUGAUGCAUUGGCUUGUGGCCAAUGCAGUGCUGCAGGGAAGCCGUUAAGUUUGCCGCCUGGGAAGUACGUACGCAAGUAUGAAACUUAAAGGAAUUGGCGGGGGAGCACCACAAGGGGUGAAGCCUGCGGUUCAAUUGGAGUCAACGCCAGAAAUCUUACCCGGAGAGACAGCAGAGUGAAGGUCAAGCUGAAGACUUUACCAGACAAGCUGAGAGGUGGUGCAUGGCCGUCGCCAGCUCGUGCCGUGAGAUGUCCUGUUAAGUCAGGUAACGAGCGAGAUCCCUGCCUCUAGUUGCCACCAUUACUCUCAGGAGUAGUGGGGCGAAUUAGCGGGACCGCCGCAGUUAAUGCGGAGGAAGGAAGGGGCCACGGCAGGUCAGUAUGCCCCGAAACUCUGGGGCCACACGCGGGCUGCAAUGGUAACGACAAUGGGUUUCGAAUUCGAAAGGAUGAGGUAAUCCUCAAACGUUACCACAGUUAUGACUGAGGGCUGCAACUCGCCCUCACGAAUAUGGAAUCCCUAGUAACUGCGUGUCACUAUCGCGCGGUGAAUACGUCCCUGCUCCU
rnacentral:rRNA from 1 species